AUCUUAUUUUCUGCUACAUUGGCUUUUGGCUUGAUAGGAAUUAAAUUUGGCUCAUCAAAGUUUUGCACGGCUUCAUAGUGGUUUCUUUGGAAUUCCUCAUUUGUUCUCCAUUGUCAAGCUUCUAGGAUUGAGAUCUCUGCCUUGGCUUAUUAGGGCACUUCUCGAUCAUAUAUCAAAUAAGCUAACAACACUUGAACCAAUGCUCACUGGAUUGCAAGAA